CAGAACCCUAAAAAUAACAACAAUUAAAUCAAUAUAAAGCCGGUUAAAGGAAAGAAAUAUAGGCAAAAAUACAUAAAUCAAUCUGUGUGUGGAAAAGCCAACGGCCAACAACAGCAGCAGCAAAAGUAAUUGGAGAAAAAUCUCUGCAAUUCGUGUGUACGUGUGUGUGCGUGUCCAUGCAAUGACAUGACAUGAAAAUAUGUUAAAAAUCUUGUGAAAUUCUCCGAUUCUCCAAAAGAAAUAAAUUCAGACUCAAUUCCUUGGGAAAAAAAGACUGACCGAACGAAUUGACUGAUUGAAAAAUUAUUACUGCAGCUGAGCCAAGCAUCCAACCAACCGAGAAAGGGGCAAAAGGCCAAGAAAAAAAUUAUAUAUCCGACACCCCUGCGUCGCUACGACACCAGAGAAAAAAAGAGUUCUUUAAAGUUUAGCAAAAAAAUCAAUAUCCGUCUAAAGUUUAUUUCGGUUUCGCCACGAAAGGAAAAUAAAUUAUUAUGAAAUAAAUACGAAAUUAUUUAUGUGAGAUUUUCUUGGAAGCCAAAACAAACCCAGGCAAGCAGAAAAAAAAUCUGGAAAAAACCAAAAAAUAAAACGAACCCCUUUAAAGCACACCUUAUUAAAGUUGUAUAAGAAGCAACAACAAAACCCAGGAUAUUUUCCAACCAAAGCCAGCAAGCAGCGAAGCAGGCAAAAAAGUCCAUUUUAUGUGUCUAAAGCUUAAGUGAUAAUAAAAACCAAAUUAGUAAAUUCGUAAAACCAAAAAAAUAAUAAAAAAUAUAUUCAAUUGCCUAAACGCUUUAACGCUAGUCGAAAAGAAAAUAUAUACGUAAAAGCCGAAGCUAAGCAUCAGCAGCCGCAGCCAAAAAAAAAAACCAACAACAAAAAAUUAAUGCUUUUUCUUCUCCAUCCAUUGUAAGACAAUUUUGCAAAGUUUUUUUUUUGUCGAUAAAUUAAAGCCAGAAAAACACCAGCAUAAUUGUAAUUCUAAUAUAGAAAAAAAAUCCAAAAUCCAACAAGAAUAUCAGCUUAAAACUAAGAUUUACAAAUUUUAAAUGAUAUUUAGCAGCCAAUACUUUAUAAAGAAAACCAACAAAUCCAACAUCAUUCAAUGAACAACUAAACCAAAACAGCAGCAGUACUUAACCAAAAGCAAAAACAAAACCAAAAAAAACCGAAAAAAAUAUUCAUGCAAAUUUUGAAAAACAAUUUCAAUUAAAAUCUCCAAUCAGCAAAUCUCCCAGAGAAAACCAAAACCAAAAAAUAAUUUCCAUUGAACAAAACAGAAAAAAAUUUUAAAAAAGAUUAAUUAGAAACUAAGAAGUCCAGUUUUUUGAGAUUAAUAAACAAAAUCACGCCAUUUACAAAAAAAACC
rnacentral:sRNA from 12 species